UGCCUGUGUUGAACUUUAGGUUCAGCCAUGAAGGUGAGCUUUGAAUGAGGACCGAUCAACCAUCACAGUGUUAGAAGGCAAGAAUGGUCUGUCAAUCAAGUUCUUUCAAUCAAGUCCCUCUGAGGUCCCACAGCAUCGUGCUAUCAGCAAAUCUGACAUCAGCAUAAUUGAAAUGCAAGAAGUAUCUUUCUGUGGUCAUAUCUCCAGUUUCACCUGCCCGUAACUUAUUCUGAAAUACUAAAAAACAAACAUUGAUGAAUGUUUGUAUCCUAA